AAGUCGAGCGAACGGACGAGAAGCUUGCUUCUCUGAUGUUAGCGGCGGACGGGUGAGUAACACGUGGAUAACCUACCUAUAAGACUGGGAUAACUUCGGGAAACCGGAGCUAAUACCGGAUAAUAUUUUGAACCGCAUGGUUCAAAAGUGAAAGACGGUCUUGCUGUCACUUAUAGAUGGAUCCGCGCUGCAUUAGCUAGUUGGUAAGGUAACGGCUUACCAAGGCAACGAUGCAUAGCCGACCUGAGAGGGUGAUCGGCCACACUGGAACUGAGACACGGUCCAGACUCCUACGGGAGGCAGCAGUAGGGAAUCUUCCGCAAUGGGCGAAAGCCUGACGGAGCAACGCCGCGUGAGUGAUGAAGGUCUUCGGAUCGUAAAACUCUGUUAUUAGGGAAGAACAUAUGUGUAAGUAACUGUGCACAUCUUGACGGUACCUAAUCAGAAAGCCACGGCUAACUACGUGCCAGCAGCCGCGGUAAUACGUAGGUGGCAAGCGUUAUCCGGAAUUAUUGGGCGUAAAGCGCGCGUAGGCGGUUUUUUAAGUCUGAUGUGAGAGCCCACGGCUCAACCGUGGAGGGUCAUUGGAAACUGGAAAACUUGAGUGCAGAAGAGGAAAGUGGAAUUCCAUGUGUAGCGGUGAAAUGCGCAGAGAUAUGGAGGAACACCAGUGGCGAAGGCGACUUUCUGGUCUGUAACUGACGCUGAUGUGCGAAAGCGUGGGGAUCAAACAGGAUUA
rnacentral:rRNA from 1 species